GGAAGGAUCAUUAACACGUAUCCACGUAUCAACCUUUGUGAACUGGUUUUCAACCUUCUCCCUGCAGAUGGAAGGAAUUGGAGUAAUAGAGAAUCAUAUUAUGAUAGGAUUUUAUAUUCGUAUAAUUUCUGUAUGAUUCAUAUUCAUUCGACGAGUUUCGACUUGUAUGACCAAUUGUAUCCACCUGUGAGGCAUAUAAUAUUCUGCUAAUAUAUUCUCUCUAUCAUAGGGAUGUAUUAGUGGAUCUAUAUAAACUAACCCUAUUCACCCCCUUUUUGCUAGUUGACUUUUAUCUGUUGUUCGCCUUAAACAGCGUAUCAGCACGUUACUUAAUUGAACGUUAAAAUUACAACUCUUAGCAAUGGAUAUCUUGGUUCUCGCAACGAUGAAGAACGCAGCGAAAUGCGAUACGUAAUGCGAAUUGCAGAAUUCAGUGAAUCAUCAAAUCUUUGAACGCAAAUUGCGCUCUUGGGUAGCCCUAGGAGCACGCCUCUCUCAGUAUCGGUUCAUUCAACUAUCAGCAGCGUAGAGAAUAUUCUAUGUGUUAGCUGGAGAAUGAGAGUCUCAAUUAAGAAAUUAAUAGAGUCUCUUUAAAUAUAUUGAAUCAACUAGUUUUAUUCGACUGAUUUAAUUUUACAUUAAAUCAGCUCUUCUCGGAUUGGUCGGUUUAAAGUGACGUGAAUACUGACCUCUUUAGGUCUUCUCAUUUACGUGUAACUUUGACUUGACAUUUAAACAAUCUAGGUGAGAGUGUUGAAUAUACACGACUAGUAUUAUGAUGUUACGCGGGUAAAACUGCAAUCGUAUAAUUGUACUCAUACUACUUUAUACUGAAUUUUGAUCUGAGAUGAAGCGAGACAACCCCCUGAAUUUAAGCAUAUUAAUAAGGGGAGGAAAAGAAACUAACAAGGAUUCCCCCAGUAACGGCGAGUGAAGCGGGAAGAGCUCAAUUUGAAAAUCGACUACCUAAGCGGGUCGUCGAGUUGUAGCCUAUAGACGUACUAUCAGCUGAAACCUGGGUAUAAGUUCUUUGGAAUGAGGCAUCAUAGAGGGUGAGAAUCCCGUAUAUGACCCAAAGCUUUCAGCGUACGAUGUAUGUUCAUCGAGUCGAGUUGUUUGGGAUUGCAGCUCUAAAUGGGUGGUAAGUUUCAUCUAAAGCUAAAUAAUGGCGAGAGACCGAUAGCGAACAAGUACCGUGAGGGAAAGAUGAAAAGAACUUUGAAAAGAGAGUUAAAAGUACUUGAAAUUGCUAAGAGGGAAGCGCUGACAAUUAGUGUUUCUUGCCGUUCAUCGCUCUCAGCCCCACUGGUCGUCCGGUGCAGUUGGAAACUCUGCAUUAGGCGACGAAAGGGAGGUUGGGGGUUUAGGACGGUAGGUUAGUCAAGAUCCAUUCGAACGGUGGGAGAAGGUAGUGAGAAAGGUAGGAUACUCCGGUAUCUGUUAUAGUCUUAUUACUCUACCUCGGUUUGGAUGGAGGAAGGAAUAGUGCGCUGCUUGCGGCUUAGUCCUUAGUACCUGCCGGCGAAGUUGCUCUGAUAGCAAUGCUAUCUUUGUGAUGCCUCGUCUGUACUGUAUUGGGUGACUCUAUGUGCUAUCACGAUCUUGUACGAAAUGAUUGUCAUCGACCCGUCUUGAAACACGGACCAAGGAGUCUAACAUCUAUGCGAGUAUUUGAGUGACAAACUCUGAUGCGCAAUGAAAGUAAAGGCAAUCUCGGUUGCUGAGGUAGGAAUCCGGUCACACGGAGGCACUAUCGACCGAUCAUCACUUGUGAAAGAUUUGAGUAAGAGCAUAUCUGUUGGGACCCGAAAGAUGGUGAUCUAUGCCUGAACAGGGUGAAGCCAGGGGAAACUCUGGUGGAGGCUCGUAGCGAUACUGACGUGCAAAUCGUUCGUCUGAUUUGGGUAUAGGGGCGAAAGACUAAUCGAACCAUCUAGUAGCUGGUUCCCUC
rnacentral:misc_RNA from 1 species